CUCUACUCAUUGUUGCACCCCUAUUUUCCUUUUCUCCAUUUUUUCCCUUCAUUUAAUAUAUUUAACAGAUAUGUAUCUGUGAGGUGUGAAAAAUAAAAUUAAACAUAGAAAUCCACUCUUUUUCUAGGAAUUGACUCACUAUUAUAAGCUGUGCUCACCAAAUUUUAACUUCUCAUUUUUUUAAGUUUAUUACAUUUAAUGAAACUAACAUUGUGCCAGUCAUGACAAAUAUAUCUUAAUCUUAAAUUAUAAAGAAUUUAAUUUUAUCUCUACAUGGUGUUGACAGAAUUGCUAAAAAAUGUCUAAAUACCUCAAAAAAUCAGAGGUAAAAUCAGAAGUAAAAAAGUCCUUUCCCCCUCAGUCUGUUCAGUCUGUGCAGAAACUGUGUCAAUCAAAACAGAGAUAAGAAGGCUGUACACUGCAUAUCUGUUAUCAGGGAAACUCUCUUUGGGUGUCUCUCUUACUUUAAUUUAGUCUAAGGGAAAGCAACACCUGAAAGAGGAGGUAAGGAGAAGGGGCAGGCUCAGAGUGAGAAAUGCACCAGCAGCAGUGGAGAGAAAUAGCCAGAAAGAUUAAUGCAGCAGCUUUGGACUGGCAAUAUGAGAAUGGAGAGAUAGAACAGGUAAGUUUGCAAAGCCAACAUGAAGUGUAGGGGACCUUUAACCUGUUACGGGAAGCAAGUCUGUGCUUUUCAAACUGGGGUAUGUAGGAGAGGUAUAUCUUACUGCAAGUGUAACAUCCACUGAAAACAUGAUUGAUGCUCUCACCAGGAGACAGUGGAAAUUGAAAUAAAUUAAAAUAUAAGCAUAUCUGGCCAACUGCUGUUUAACCUAAAUUUGCCUGCAGCUGUGAUUAAUCUUUGAGAACUUUCAGCAGCAGGCAAGUUAAGUAAGAGGUAUAACCUUUCUCAAAUGGUCUGACUACUUAAAAUGGGGGCACCAAGGGCAUUCCUGGUACCAUAACCACUAAAAUACACUGUGGUGGUUAUGGUGCUUGGAGUGUUCCUUUAAUUAUAGGUCUAGAGAUUCUGAAAUGUAAUUUUCUGCAGGAGGUAGAAAUGUUUCUGUAACGUAUAUAUAGUUCAGAGUCUAUGUUUGGUAUUUUAUACAAUAGACUAAAAAUAAGAAUCAAUAUAAUAUAUAAACUGGAGGAAUACAUUACAUUUUCCUUGGUUGGAUUCUGCAAUUAUAUUCAGAAUGGAUAUAUCUGAUGCAGAAAUGAAUGUUAUUUAAACUAAUGGUCAGUAAUUCAAUAUACACACAUUAUACAGAAAAUACUGAGGUCUAAUGCUCUCAGCAUGUGCUAUAAUAAGGCUGCAAGAAAAUUGCCAUUAUUGAUGACGAGAAGCAAAAAGGUGACUCAAAAAAAGACUAGAUGCUUGCAGGAGCUAGAGACAGGGCAAGAAGAACAUGUGGUGUCCAUUUUCUCCAGAACAACGUAACAUGUUUUUUUCCUCUUGAUUCCAUGAUAAAAUGUCAAGGUAGCGUGGCCAGCGUAAAACUGGCUCAUAUCACCGUAGAAUCACGCUCUUUUUCACUGACAGUAUUCUCACAAGCGAUUGGUGUACAGACUUGCACAAGGCACACUAUUUGUGCUGCAGCUAAAUAGUGAUUAUGGCAAAAUAAGUGGUUGUCAACUAGUAAUAACUGUUUUUUUAUGUUGAUUACAUAAUAAAGCAAGUCACUUUCCGGUAUCCAGACAAACACACAGAUACACUCACAGACACAUUUAUAUUCCCAGACAUACAAACACGCAUACAGAGAUGAUUUGACGACACAAACACACAGGCUCACACACACAUACAUAUUGUACUAGAUAUACACAUUCCCAGACAUACACUGCCGCAUACGGGUAAACAAUGACACAAUUAAACUAACAAAAUGCACAUUUUAGCCAUUGCAUACACCUAUUUGUGGGCUGUAAGAUGGUGCUGCGAGGUCUCGUAACAAAUAGGCUGAUCAAGGUUUCCAGCUCCCUCUCAGCAUGGCUCUGUGUGUGAAAUGGAAUGACACUAUAUUACAUCACAUCCUCGUGGAGUAGAUCUUCCAUACAUGGGGUCAGGCUGUUCCAGUCUGCUCCUUGUGGCUGCUAAAUGCAGUCUAGUUUUUGGAAGAUAUGUUUAUUUCCUCUGUUGGACCAGAGUAUGGCCUUUAAUUGAAUCCCCUGAUGGUGGCCCAGCUCUUCCCCUCCCUUUCCUUCUCUCCUUUCUGCACCAUAUCCUCUGAUUCUUCAUCUGUUUUUUUUUUUAUCUUCAUCUUUCAGUUUUUCUUAAAAGAUAAUUCAGCUAUAAACCUCGAUUACAUUCCAGCCAAUCAUGUUUAUUGUCAGUUUUUUGCUGCUAAUAAGCCAUUUAACGUUUGGAUAGAUUUAAAUUCAGCAGUUAAAGGCUUAUCUGGAGCCAUAAAAUAUCGGCUUGCAUAUCGAUUCCGAAGCCUAUAUUUCACAUUGAUUUAAUCUGGUGAUUAAAUUUCAUUCAAUGACUGCAUAGACACUGUUAAACGCAGGGCCGAUGCUACCAUUAGGCGAAUAAGGCAUUUGCCUGGGGCGCUGGCAUCUGGGAGGUUUCCCGGUGGGCUGCCCUGCUCCUGUCUGGGGCUGGUGUAGUGGGCGAGCGGCUCCUUAGCCACCCCCCAGCAAAGUCAUUCAGCUGCUGGGCUCUCUGUCUCCGCUUGCCUGCUCGGGAAGCGGGAUAUGCUGUAGCCCCAGCACCCAAGCAGAGCACUCGGCUUCCUGCAGGCAGGGGAAACCGGGAUAUGACCAGAUAGCCCAGCUGCCCCCUACCUGUGAACACCGGAAGUUCUCUGAGGGGAACAGGAAGCAGCUGGUGUACACAGUGCAUGGCUCUCCUGCUCCCCCCACCAGGAACAACAGCAGCUACCUACAGGCUGGGCCCCUCUCCUCCAUUCACAGCACUUGUGAAUGAUCCAUCUGAAGGUAAGUGGAACUGAUCAUGAGUAUGAUUGCAUGAUGGUAAACUGGUCUGUGUGUAUUGAAUUGCUGUGUUUGUGUGUGUAAAUAAAGUGUGACUAUAUGUAAAGUGGUGUGAAUUUGUGCUUGAGUGACAGUGUGUGUGUUAGUGAGAGUGUGUAAGUGGCACUGUGAAUGUCACCGACUGUGUGUGUGUAAGUGAAUGUCAGUCACAGUGUGUGUGUGUGUGUAAGUGACACUUUGUCAGUGAGAGUGUGUGUUAGUGAGUGUGUACAUGACACUUUAUGUCAGUGAGAGUGUGUGUUAGUGAGAGUGUGUGUGUAACUGACACUGUAGGUCAGUGAGAGUGUGUAUGUUAGUGAGAAUGUGUGCUAGUGUGUGACCAUGUAAAUAGAUACUUAUAUAUUAAAUUAUAUCUAUAAUAUAUAUUAGAAUUCUAUAUUAAACUGAAAAAAAUGUUAACAGUAACAUGAAUUAAAUCCCAACAUUAUUACAAAGGAAAUACCACCAAAUACAUUGAAACAGAGUGUGUGGAUUUAUGUAUUAGGCAGUAUGUGUCGAUUGAUGUGUGCAUUAGGCAGUACGUGUGUAUUGAUCUAUGCAUUAGGCAGUAUGAGUGUAUGAAUUUACAUAUUGGGUGGUGUGUGUGUGUGUGUGUGUAUUUAUGUAUUGGGCUGUGUGUGUGUGUGUGUGUGUGUGUAUUUAUGUAUUGGGCUGUGUGCGUGUGUGUGUGUGUAUUUAUGUAUUGGGCUGUGUGUGUGUGUGUGUGUAUUUAUGUAUUGGGCUGUGUGUGUGUGUGUGUGUGUGUGGAUUUAUGUAUUGGGCUGUGUGUGUGUGUAUUUAUGUAUUGGGCUGUGUGCGUAUGGUUGAUUGCAUGUAAUAGGCAGUCUUUGUGUGUGAAUGGAUGGAUGUAUUAGGCAGUGUGUAUAUAUGGAUGCAUACGGUGGAUGUGUGUGUUUUCUUCCCUAACCCUCUCUUCAUUGCAAUUCAAAAUUUAGUUAAUAAACCUGUGAGAGAAUGUAGUCGCCUUCAAGAAGGGGCGGCAAAUUGGAUUGUUGCCUAGGGUGGGAGAAUCCUUGCACCGGCCCUGGUUAAACAGGCCAAUCGAACUCAAAAGCUAAAAGCUGCAGACACUUUUUUUUACUAUUUGGCUGCAGAAAGCACUAGCAGCCAGUGGGAAAAUAUUUAUAAAAAUCCUGUGGGGGUCAAUACAAUCCCCUUAUUAGUGUAAGGGAGGUGUUUAAUCUCCCUUAUACCCCCAAACACGAUGAUGCCCCCACCACAUGCCUUUUUUGUUUAUGUACGAGUCCCCACCCAAUACAUGGAGGGAAGCAUAGUGCUUAACAGUGAUAAUGUGGGCGAUGGCAAUAGCUCCCCGGUUCCUAGUCUUUUAGUUCAGCUAGUCUUUUAGUACAGUUAGUUCAGCUAGUCUUUUAUUACUGUUUAGUGGACAUGUCCCUACACAUAGCAACACCUCCCUUGCACUAAUAUGCAGGUCAUAUUAACCCCCAUAUGCCUUUUUUAAUUUAUUUUUAAUUACUAACAGCUUUAGUCAUUAAAUAGGCUGAUAAACAUUCUUACGCAGCACAUUGUUGGUGGUUUUAUUUCAAACAGCAAACCCAUUUAUCAAAUCUGGCAGCUUGAAUUUUGGAUAACUUUCAAUUCAAUCUGAAACUGGGGGCGGGGGGAAAUCAUCCAAGAACAGUCAAUAUCGAUCAAAUGUUUUUGACUGAAAGAACUAAAGGCCAUAGUUUAUUAUAAAGUAAUAAAAAUUUUUUUAAAAAGUCCUUCAGUUCUGGCUGUUAAAUAGUAAGGCAAUAUUUAUGGAAAAUAAACAUGAAAGUAAAUACAAGCAUUUCUCUCUUUAUGAACUCCUGCCUUUAUGAACUUUUUUCUAGGUGAGCCGCCAUUUUGUUUCACUGCCAUUUUGUGUCAGCGGUCUGGGGAUCAGGACAUAGGGGCGUACUUUAAAGCACAAACAAGAAGAGAAGAAGAAUUUGUGGCCAGGAGUAGACAAGUAGAGAGAAGAUGAUCAGGAAUGCAGUCCCAGUAGAUAAAGGUAAGUCUAAAAAACGGGUUUACACUGUACUGUAGUCUUCCUGCGCUUUCACGAGCAUACCUGUAAUAUUAUUGCCCUGUGUACUAUUGAGUAGAGUUUGGACUUGAUUUGUCUGUGUGUCUGACAUUGCUGUCUGUAUGUGUGUGUAACAUUGCUGUCUGUGUGUGUGUCUGACAUUGCUGUCUGUAUGUGUGUGUAACAUUGCUGCCUGUGUGUGUGUCUGACAUUGCUCUCUGUAUGUGUGUCUGACAUUGCUCUCUGUGUGUGUGUGACAUUGCUGUCUGUGUGUGUGUCUGACAUUUCUGUGUGUGUGUGUGUGUGUGACAUUGUUGUCUGUGUGUGUGUCUGACAUUGCUGUCUGUAUGUGUGUGUAACAUUGCUGUCUGUGUGUGUGUCUGACAUUGCUCUCUGUAUGUGUGUCUGACAUUGCUCUCUGUGUGUGUGUGACAUUGCUGUCUGUGUGUGUGUCUGACAUUUCUGUGUGUGUGUGUGUGUGUGACAUUGCUGUCUGUGUGUGUGUCUGACAUUGAUGUCUGUAUGUGUGUGUAACAUUGCUGUCUGUGUGUGUGUCUGACAUUGCUCUCUGUAUGUGUGUCUGGCAUUGAUCUCUGUGUGUGUGUCUGACAUUGUUCUCUGUGUGUGUGUGACAUUGCUGUCUGUGUGUGUGUCUGACAUUGCUGUCUGUGUGUGUGUCUGACAUUGCUGUCUGUAUGUGUGUGUAACAUUGCUGUCUGUGUGUGUGUCUGACAUUGCUCUCUGUAUGUGUGUCUGACAUUGCUCUCUCUGUGUGUGUGACACUGCUGUCUGUGUGUCUGACAUUGCUGUCUGUAUGUGUGUGUAACAUUGCUGUAUGUGUGUGUGUCUGACAUUGCUGUCUGUAUGUGUGUGUAACAUUGCUCUCUGUAUGUGUGUCUGACAUUGCUCUCUGUGUGUGUGUCUGACAUUGCUCUCUGUGUGUGUGUGACAUUGCUGUCUGUGUGUGUCUGACAUUUCUGUGUGUGUGUGUGUGACAUUGCUGUCUGUGUGUGUGUCUGACAUUGCUGUCUGUAUGUGUGUGUGACAUUGCUGUCUGUGUGUGUGUCUGACAUUUCUGUGUGUAUGUGUGUGUGUGUGUGUGUGACAUUGCUGUGUGUGUGUCUGACAUUGCUGUCUGUAUGUAUGUCUGACAUUGCUGUGUGUGUGUGUGUGUGACAUUGCUGUCUG